GCCUUGGUCCAGGUCCUCACCUUCAUCCUCAUUGUCAUUCAACACCACACGUACGCCGGCGGAGAACAGACGCGACGAUCUCACCGGCAUCUCUCUUCCUCGACUCCGGUAUCACAUUGAACACCACACACACACACAACUUAACCACACAUGCGACUUGAAGGUGAAUGCAAGUGAAUCGAAGACGACCACGAUCGGUCGAAUCUCCAAGCUUCGGCAAGCCACGGCGAAUGCGAAUCGGAAAUCUAAAUCAUCAAAUCACAUCCAAAGAAAACAGUUCGUUUGAGUGCAUACCUCGAUAGAUUUCGGCGCGUCAACUUCCAAAUCAGCUUUAAUCUUCUUCUCCUCCUUGUGAUGCCGCUCCGGGUUCUUGCUUGAUUCGGUUCUGCAACCUUCUAUCCUUCUCUUGUCCUUUUCGGCUGUGAGUUCCUUCCAUUGCGAUGAUUCCGCUUGUUAGGUUCUGUUACGCAAGGCUUUGUUUGGUUGCUCAAAAUUAUGCUGAAUCGUGAUUCGAUCUUCAGGAAUUUGUGUGGCUUGCUUCGUACAAAUUGGCGUGUUGAAGGAGAAAUUGUUAAAGAUUCUGUAGGUGAGAUUUUGAGUUGCAGGAAUUUGCGGUGGUGAGAGUUGAAUUGGAUCCACGGUGGUGGUUUUGGAAGGUUGAAUAAGAGAGAGGUUAUGGAAGUCUUGGUCGCGGUGGAAACGGUGGUUUAGCAGGUUGAAGGAGAAAUUGACGGUGGUUAUGGAGGAUUGGAGAAAAAGUUUGUUACGGUUGGGGGAGACUGAAAUCGGAAUUUGCAGGCUUUGCAAAAAGGAGAUCCAAAAAACAACCCCAACCUUGCUUGCAGGUGUGGUUUGGUUGGUUCGUGAAUGAGCUGUUGUGAACGGCUUUGAGUUGCGUUUGGAUUUUGCUCAUGGCUUGUUGGCUCAUGAUGCCUGCGUUGUUGGCUGCUUAGUUCACUGCAGUUUGGUUGCCGGCUCGUUGCCGUUUUGAGUCCGUUUCAUUUUUCAUAUUGCCGUUUCCACCGUUGGCUGCAGUUUUAGUUUGUUCCUAAUUCAUAUAGAUUAUGUUGCGUUGCAAUCCAAUCAUUUCUCACAUAGCACUUCAAUUUCCAUGCAAGUGGCUUCUUGGAUAAUACAGUUAAAGAUUACUUGCCAUGAAUUAUGGAUUAAUUAGUUACAGAUGGAUAUAGGUAAUGGGAAUAAAGUGGGAUGUUGAUUAUGUGAAAUGGGAAUUGGAUUAAUGGAUUUUGGAUAUUAGAAUGAA